rnacentral:rRNA from 1 species
AUAACAAUACAGGGCAUUUUAUGCUCUGUAAUUGGAAUGAUGGGAAUGUAAAACCCUUCCAGAGUAACAAUUGGAGGGCAAGUCUGGUGCCAGCAGCCGCGGUAAUUCCAGCUCCAAUAGUGUAUAUUAGAGUUGUUGCAGUUAAAAAGCUCGUAGUUGGAUUUCUGCUGUGGUCAUCCGGUACCGCCCGUAUGGGUGCGCACCUGGUUUGGCUGCGGCUUUCUUCCUGUAGCCGUCCGCGCUUAAUUGCGUGCGUUGUGUUACGGAACUUUUACUUUGAGAAAAAUAGAGUGUUUCAAGCAGGCUUGUCGCCCUGAAUACUUCAGCAUGGAAUAAUAGGAUAGGACCUUGGUUCUAUUUUGUUGGUUUCUAGGACCAAGGUAAUGAUUAAUAGGGACA